rnacentral:lncRNA from 8 species
UGGUCUAAGGCCCUGCAUCGCAGCGCUAGCUGGGUACCAGUCCAGGCUCUGUCUCAGUGGUCUAAGGCCCUGCAUCGCAGCGCUAGCUGGGUACCAGUCCAGGCUCUGUCUCAGUGGUCUAAGGCCCUGCAUCGCAGCGCUAGCUGGGUACCAGUCCAGGCUCUGUCUCAGUGGUCUAAGGCCCUGCAUCGCAGCGCUAGCUGGGUACCAGUCCAGGCUCUGUCUCAGUGGUCUAAGGCCCUGCAUCGCAGCGCUAGCUGGGUACCAGUCCAGGCUCUGUCUCAGUGGUCUAAGGCCCUGCAUCGCAGCGCUAGCUGGGUACCAGUCCAGGCUCUGUCACAGUGGUCUAAGGCCCUGCAUCGCAGCGCUAGCUGGGUACCAGUCCAGGCUCUAUCUCAGUGGUCUAAGGCCCUGCAUCGCAGCGCUAGCUGGGUACCAGUCCAGGCUCUGUCACAGUGGUCUAAGGCCCUGCAUCGCAGCGCUAGCUGGGUACCAGUCCAGGCUCUGUCUCAGUGGUCUAAGGCCCUGCAUCGCAGCGCUAGCUGGGUACCAGUCCAGGCUCUGUCUCAGUGGUCUAAGGCCCUGCAUCGCAGCGCUAGCUGGGUACCAGUCCAGGCUCUGUCACAGUGGUCUAAGGCCCUGCAUCGCAGCGCUAGCUGGGUACCAGUCCAGGCUCUGUCUCAGUGGUCUAAGGCCCUGCAUCGCAGCGCUAGCUGGGUACCAGUCCAGGCUCUGUCUCAGUGGUCUAAGGCCCUGCAUCGCAGCGCUAGCUCGGUACCAGUCCAGGCUCUCUCUCAGUGGUCUAAGGCCCUGCAUCGCAGCACUAGCUGGGUUUCAGUCCAGGCUCUGUCUCAGCCGGCCGCGACCGGGUGGUGGGGAGGUGCACAAUUGGCCCCGCGUAGUCCGGCAAGGAUGUUCUUGUCCCAUCACGCACUAGCGACUCCUGUGGGUGGGCCGGGCCCAGUGCACGCUGGGACAGCUGUACGGUGUUUCCUCCGACACAUUGGUACGGCUGACUUCCGGGUUAAGUGGACAGUGUGUCAAGAAGCAGUGCGAUAUCCAAUAUGUAUUGAUAAGAGACGGGAGAUGGCCAAGUAA